CCUACGGGAGGCAGCAGUAGGGAAUCUUCCACAAUGGACGCAAGUCUGAUGGAGCAACGCCGCGUGAGUGAAGAAGGUCUUCGGAUCGUAAAACUCUGUUGUCAGAGAAGAACGUGCGUGAGAGCAACUGUUCAUGCAGUGACGGUAUCUGACCAGAAAGUCACGGCUAACUACGUGCCAGCAGCCGCGGUAAUACGUAGGUGCCAGCAGCCGCGGUAAUACGUGCCAGCAGCCGCGGUAAUACGUAGGUGCCAGCAGCCGCGGUAAU
rnacentral:rRNA from 1 species